rnacentral:rRNA from 1 species
CAGCAGCCGCGGUAAGACAGAGGAUGCAAGCGUUAUCCGGAAUGAUUGGGCGUAAAGUGUCUGUAGGUGGCUUUUCAAGUCCGCCGUCAAAUCCCAGGGCUCAACCCUGGACAGGUGGUGGAAACUACCAAGCUGGAGUAUGGUAGGGGCAGAGGGAAUUUCCGGUGGAGCGGUGAAAUGCAUUGAGAUCGGAAAGAACACCAACGGCGAAAGCACUCUGCUGGGCCGACAUUGACACUGAGAGACGAAAGGUAGGGGAGCAAAUGGGAUUAGAUACCCGCGUAGUCCCUGUCUCUUAUAC